AAAACAUUGAGAGUUUACACUGAAAAUUUGGAGAAGAAAAAUUAAAAAGAAACUUAAAAUAGAUGUAGACCACACACAAUGCACCCGGUUGCAAAAUCCAGUGCCAGAGAACCCCCGACUCAGCUCAGCCUGUCCACCCGUGAUUUUGGAAGACGCUCUCUGUAGCUCAGUCGUGAAUCUGGAGUGCACUCUGAAAUCUUCAACACAAUUGCCUCGGCCCACGUGAGGCAGAUGGUAGAGCCUUGCCUCAGUUGAAGAGACAAAGAUACUAACCAUGCUGAACCGCGCAUCUACUAAAAUAUGCUGAAGACUGAAAAAGAAAAAAUGUAAAUGAGCCCCUAGAAGAAAUCCUUUCAGUUCUUUUUUCAUCAGAAUGGUACCUUUCCACGGCUAAAGACACUCAAGACCUGCGUGCUCCUGUGUUCAGCCUCCCAGAUUUCCUGGGACAUCACGCAAAUUGUCUCUUCAAUCGCCUUUCACGCGUGUGUUAACCACGUCUUCACCGGGUUGCUGGCCCACUCUUUCUGUAGGACACCCUCUUGCAUAGCACACUCCUCCUAUAAAACGUGGACUUCUAUAAUAAUGUGGACUUCUCCUAUAAAACGUGGACUUCUAUAAUAACGAGGACUUCUCCUAUAAAACGUGGACUUCUAUAAUAACAUGGACUUCUCCCAUGUUUGUGUCAGUGAUUUCCUUUCCCUCUUAUCUCAAGCCUUCUUCUUUUUCUAUCACAUUUUCUAUCACAUUCUAUCUCAAUCUCCUUUUUCUAUCACAUUUCCUACAUUCGUGCCUGUGAGUUUAUGCAGCUAUUGAUGUUGUCAUACAGUCCAUAACAAUAAAUACAAAAUCCAUA
rnacentral:lncRNA from 1 species